rnacentral:rRNA from 1 species
UCCGUAGGUGAACCUGCGGAAGGAUCGAUUA